CCUUUAAGAAGCGAUGCUCGUCCUCUCUCCUUCCUCGCUCAAUUCCUCCCAAACCCUACUCCUAGGGCAAUACGUACAACAUAUACCGGGCGUAUAGCUGUACAUAUGUAUAUGUACCGGCGUUAGGACUUGACUGGUGCCGUUGAUCGGAUUCCGGCGAGCUGCGGCGUAGAAUAUAUCAUUGCCCGUCGGUUCAUGAUUCCUCACACGUCAGCAUUCGUGGUCUUCCGACGUCGAUGGCGUCAGCCGUCCUAGCCAGCCGCAAUGAAUCCAACUGGGGACAAUCCGGCGCCGUGUUCAUGGGCAAACAACUCCCGUCGUCGUACUCCAAUCACCACCACCUAAACCCUAACCCUAACCCUAACAACCCUAAUUCCGUCCCGAAGAAGAAAAAGAAGAAGCAAUUACAACACCACUCGUUGGUCGCCAACGGCCACCACCACAGCAAUAACGGCGUCGUCUCGCCGCCGGCCGUAACGCAGGCCGCCUCCGACGAUGCCUACUCGUUCAACCAGAGACAGAUCGAUACGAAGAGCGGACCUGCGAUCGAUCGCGGUGAUGACGCGUACGUCAGCUUCGACAUCGGCUCGUGCACGAGACACGAGCUGGUCGAGCUCAAGAAACGGUUGGUGGCGGAGCUGGAACAGAUCCAGAGAUUGAACGAGCGAAUCGAGUCGGGAGAUUUUAAACGACAUCCGCGUGAUCCUCCUCAAUUGUUACAACAUGGCAAGAGCAACAGGAAGCUCUCGGGAAACAAGCGGCCGGGUCCACCCCGAGAGCAGCUUCCUGUAGUUUCCCCGAGGGAACGGGUACCGGAUGGGAUUGAACUGGCGGAGAUAAUGAAGAUGUGCAGGCAGGUGUUGACGAAGCUGAUGAUGCACAAAUCCAGCUGGAUCUUCAAGACCCCGGUCGACGCCGUUGCGCUAGGGCUUCACGAUUACCACCAGAUUGUCAAGCGCCCGAUGGAUCUAGGGACGGUAAAAUCGAAUUUCUCCAAGAAUUUGUAUUCAUUUCCUGGCGAUUUCGCAACGGACGUGAGAUUGAUCUUUGAGAAUGCGAUCUUGUAUAAUCCCAAGGGGGAUGAGGUGCAUAGGAUCGCCGAGCAGCUUCUCGAUCGGUUCGAGGAGCUGUACAGGCCGAUACAAGAUAGGUUAAAAGGCAACGAUGACAGAGAUGACGGAGAUGAGAGAGAGGAGGUAGUACAGGGGAGCUCGUGGAAUCAUAAUCAUCCAGCUCCUGAGAAUCCAAAGAAGAAGAAACCCAAGUCAAUGCCAACUCCUAAGGAGAAAAUAGAGGUUGUUCCGGCAAUGCCUUCGAGUCCGUCAAGUCCUUCUUCACCGAACCCUCCAUUGGUGCAAUCUCCCGUGGCGGCUGCAAAGGCAGGAGGGGUGAGAGGGAGUUACGUUGGGAAGCAGCCGAAGCCGAAGGCCAGAGAUCCGAAUAAGAGGCCAAUGAGCAUGGAGGAGAAGCACAAGCUGGGUGGUGGGUUGCAGAAUUUGCCUGAGGAAAAGAUGCCUCAGUUGGUUCAGAUAAUAAGGAAGAGGAACAAGCAUAUGGCCCCGGAAGGGGACGAGAUCGAGCUCGAUAUAGAGGCCAUUGAUACGGAGACCCUUUGGGAGCUCGAUCGGUUCGUGACUAAUUGGAAGAAGAUGGUGAGCAAGAACAAGAGGCAAGCGCUCAUGACAAACAAUGCGGUUGCUACUACGGCUUCUGGAGAUGACAACGUGGAGGUUCAUUUGAGUGAAAAAACUGAUUCUGUGAAGAAGCCGAAGAAAGGGGAAGCUGGUGAGGAAGAUGUUGACAUUGGCGAUGAGAUGCCAAUGACCCAUUUCCCACCAGUGGAGAUUGAGAAGGAUGAUGGCGCCACGGCCGGUGGCAGUGGUCAUGAUAACAAGGGUCAUGCAACCAGCAGCUCUAGCAGCUCCAGCGGCUCAAGUAGCGAUUCGUCCUCAUCGAGUGAUUCUGAAUCUGGGAGCUCUUCGGAAAGUGAUUCUGAUGCGGAUGAUGCAGAGUCGAGGGGCCGAGAGUCCAAAGAAUUUUCGAAGACUUGAAUCAGGACUGAGUGAAGAUGGUUGAACAAAACAAGGGUCUGAAUUCUUUCCCUUGGGAAAAAGAAGAGCUCCCAUUGGUGGGUGGUGAAUUUGAGGUAUAAACUGAUACAAUGAACGUGCAUCCAUUUGUAAUGGGAGAGUGUUGUGAAGUAACUUGUGGGUUUGUGGUUAAUUGCAGCCAUUGGGAAGGAAUGUUGUAAUGGAAGUGUUUGAUUGGCAGCUGGUUGUGGCCUGGAGGGUGGAAAAGAAGCCCAUUUGGGUAGAAGUUGUUGUCAAAAGGUGUUACAUGGAUAAAAAUGUUUUGGGCCCCGUCCAGUAAAAAACCUUGACGGGUAAAACAAGAAUCAUUAUGUACUUGGAAUUUAGCCUCGGCGAAGAACCAGACACCCUGAUGAGGUUUUUCAUACACAAACUAAAAGGGAAAAUCCAAUGCAUGAGGCUCCCGGUAUUGCGGAGUCUGGGAAAUGGUUGAUGUAUGCAGCCUUACUCUUACAAGCAGAGAGGUUGUUUUCGUGACUCAAACCCGCGACCUCCAGGUUCCGUAAUUAUAUCUAGAAUGAAGUCUAUAAACGUACUACUGGUAUGGAACCGAAAGAUUCAGAAACUCAAGUUAAAACUACCGAAGAAUAUCCAAGGUUAGCCAUGGAAACACCAAACGGAGGUUAGCAGUGGAUUAUGUAACCACAGGGGCAGGAUCUCUAGAUAUGUUUGUACGACAUAAGUCCAAUUAGAGUACUCCCUCGUUUCAAAAUAUUACUCCAUCCGUGCUCCGUUCAAUUGUCGAGAAAGUUGUGUGAAAAAUUGGUUCUCAGAAAAAGUGAAGUGAGGUGAAGUAAAAGAAAAAGAAAAUUAUUUUCC